rnacentral:lncRNA from 1 species
UUUUAGAUUUUAAUUUUUAAAUUUAAUUUUAGAUUUUAAUCAUAAUUCCAAAUAUCAAAUUAUAAUUUUUUUGAAUUAUAAAUUUUUAAAUUUAAAUUUAACUUUUUAGACACUUUAAACUAAAAUUUAGUAAAAAAAAUUAUUGUUCAUAAACAGUAAAAAAUUUUGCCAAACAAUUUUAGACUGAGCCAAAUGCGAUACAGCUUUUAACAAAAAUUAAUUAUAUAAAUCAAAAUUAAUUAUGCAGAAAUCACUUUUUCACCGGAUA